GUGGCGCCAGCGAGGUCAGGGAUAAGGUCUUGGAAAUCAAAGAGCAACUGAGCAGUGCUGCUCAGCCUAAAGGCUUGAACAACAUGGAAUGCUGAAGAGAAAGAAAGAGAGGGGAGAAAACCCUCUUUGAAAUGAGAUAGAAUGCAGCUGAAAUCCUGUUGUUCGAAACCCACGUAUUGGCAACGGCUAUGGAAAAUUGCCUUGCCGGCUUUUUCUUUUCUUUUCUGUUUGAUAAGUAUAAAUGGAGCAAAGGGACUCUGAGGAGUGCUGCCAAUAUCUUAAGGAAUUUUCAGUGGAGCGCCAUCUUGGAGAUCACCACAGCAGAUCCUUGUGCUGUCUAAAAGUCUAAUGUGAGAGUCCAACAAUGGAAAAGGAUGAGCCAACAAUGGAAAAUGGUGGAAACAGAUCCAGCAAGGGGCAUGUUGCUACCUGGAACCUGAGAAGCAGAAGGCAUUAGUACUCACAGAAGGUCAUUCAGGACCCUGGACAGAUCCCAUUUUAAAAGCAAUGUGUUCAGAGAAGGCGUGGGUGCUAAUUGUGUCAGGAGUUGCCAACAUGGUGCCCUCCAGAUGUUGUUGGACUACAACUUGCACCAUGCCUGAUCACUGAGCCACACUUGUUGGAGCUGAUGAGAGUUGGAAUCUAACAUCUGGAGGGUGGAACAUUGGCUAUCACAGCCUUAUGAAUUUCUUGUGUUUAUCCACCUCUCCCAAGUCGUAUCAUCUUCUAGAGAUUGGAGAACCUUCAAAGGACACUCAGACAUCUUUUGCCAGACAUGCUGCUUGUGGGAAAGUUUCAAGGCUGAAAAGGGCAUUUAGUGAAACCUUUCCUAUAGUGGUUGCAAGAGACAGGAACAUGAGAAUAUAGCCAUCUUAUAAAACAUUUGCUUUUGAAUUAUGGUGCUGGAGGAGACUCUUGAGAGUCCCAUGGACUGCGAGAAGAUCAAACCU